UUUUUGUUUUUUGUCAGAAAACAGCAGCUUGCUUUCCAGCAGCUAUACUGUUAAUGAUGGUGACGCCCUACUGUGUUAAUGGCUGUGACUGCCCUACUAUGCUACCAGGAACACGGCUUCCCGUGUUCACCGCAAACCUUGUUUCUCAUCGCGGAAGUCUUGUAGAACCGGAGCUCUGUCUCCUGCUCCAGCUGUGAAACACGCCUAGCAAUAAGUGGAUGAAUCACUGGCAUGAUGCAGAAACAUGUGACGGUUCUCUUCCAUUCCUUCGGCAGCACCAUUCUCUCUCCACCGCCCAGCAUUCUGUGUCUCCCCGUAAGCAGCUCACAUGGUCGGGCCCUCCUGUACUCCUGAGUCUGGGAUAUUUUGUUAAGGGACCUGUGAUGACCACGUGAACAAGGCAAACAGAUUCAUGGGAAAAUGGAGCUUUAAAAUCUGGUGGCUUUAUAGACAAGCAGGCAGGAAAUUUAAAUCCAAUCAGACAAAAUGAAAGAGCUGGCUUUAUCUCUUCUAGUCACAGAUUACCUAACUAUUCAGAGACUUUCCUGAAAAAGC
rnacentral:lncRNA from 1 species